GACGUAGGGCGCGAGCGUUGUCCGGAUUUAUUGGGCGUAAAGAGCUCGUAGGCGGCUUGUCACGUCGGGUGUGAAAGCCCCGGGGCUUAACCCCGGGUCUGCAUUCGAUACGGGCUGGCUGGAGUGUGGUAGGGGAGAUCGAAUUCCUGGUGUAGCGGUGAAAUGCGCAGAUAUCAGGAGGAACACCGGUGGCGAAGGCGGAUCUCUGGGCCAUUACUGACGCUGAGGAGCGAAAGCGUGGGGAGCGAACAGG
rnacentral:rRNA from 1 species